AUGACGACGGACGGCUCUUUCCUUCCUUGGUCUCUACUCCAAGUCGCUUUCCAACUCCGAUCCCUCCUCCUCUCUCCGACACUCGGUCCACCGCUGGCAGUCGCUGGCAGGUGGUCCCCGUGGACUCCUGUCCUUGCCUGCGGGCCGCUAAAGACGGAACAAGAACGGGCCGGGCGCGUCCGGCCGAGCUAUAGCUGCUUCUGGAAAAAACCGCUGGCCCGCGUCCGCAUGGCGCCCGGCGGCACGAUGCCCCCGUGCGCGCCCCACCUCAUGUUCCGCCGCCCGGGCCUCGCCGCGCCUGCGCCUCACGCCGUCGUGCCGCCGCCUGCCGCCGCUGGCAUGGACAAGGAGGACGGGGAGCGCCGGCUGAGGCUGUCCGACCUGGAGUGGCUGGCCGACCUCGGCGAGGGCGCGAGCGGGGUGGUGACCAAGGUGCGCCUCCGCGGCACCGCCGGCCCCGCGUUCGCGCUCAAGGUCGCGCACUACCCCGACGACACCGACGCGGGGAGGGAGCAGGACGAGGUGCUCCGCCGCGCGUGCGGGGCCGGGCCGCCGUCGCCGUACGUGGUGCGCUGCCACGCCGUCCUCCGCGGCGAAGGCGGCGAGCCCGCGUGCCUCCUCGAGCUCAUGGACGCCGGGUCGCUCCACGACGUCCUCCGCCGCCGGGGCGGCCUCCCUGAGCCCGCGCUCGCCGAGGUGGCCGCGCGCUGCGCCCUCGGGCUCGCGCACCUCCACGCGCGCGGCGUCGCGCACCUCGACCUCAAGCCCGACAACCUGCUCGCCAGCGCCCGCGGGGACGUCAAGAUCGCCGACUUCGGCGUCUCGCGGAUCUUCUCCCGCGCCGACGGCCAUCAGCGCUCUACCCGGGUCUCCGUCGCCGUCGGGACCACAGCGUACAUGAGCCCCGAGCGGUUCGCGCCUAACGCCCAGGCCGGCCCGCGCGGGGCCUGCGCCGCCGACGUCUGGAGCCUCGGCGUCACCGUCCUGGAGCUCUUCUUGGGGCACCGCCCUGUCCUGCCUGCCGAACGGACGCCGUCCUGGAAGAUGCUCAAGGAGGCCAUCUGCUACGGCGAUCCUCCGUCGGUGCCGGACAGCGCGUCGGCGUCGGCGGAGCUGCGCGGGUUCGUGGCCGCGUGCGUGCAGAAGGAUCCCCGGAGGCGUGCCACGGUGCCGCAGCUGCUCGCGCACCCGUUCGUGGCCCGCCGGGACGUGGAGGCAUCGCGCCGCGCGCUACUAGAGAUUAUCGUGGAGACCAUAUAG
rnacentral:rRNA from 1 species